GCCUGGGUGGCUGAGUCACUUAAGCAUCUGACUUCGGCUCAGGUCACAGUCUUGUGGUUUGUGGGUUCGAGCCCUGCGUCGGGCU
rnacentral:tRNA from 1 species